AUUGAACGCUGGCGGCAUGCUUUACACAUGCAAGUCGAACGGUAACAGGUCUUCGGAUGCUGACGAGUGGCGAACGGGUGAGUAAUGCAUCGGAACGUGCCCAGUCGUGGGGGAUAACGCAGCGAAAGCUGCGCUAAUACCGCAUACGAUCUAUGGAUGAAAGCGGGGGACCGUAAGGCCUCGCGCGAUUGGAGCGGCCGAUGUCAGAUUAGGUAGUUGGUGGGGUAAAGGCCCACCAAGCCAACGAUCUGUAGCUGGUCUGAGAGGUCGACCAGCCACACUGGGACUGAGACACGGCCCAGACUCCUACGGGAGGCAGCAGUGGGGAAUUUUGGACAAGGGGCGCAAGCCUGAUCCAGCAAUGCCGCGUGCAGGAAGAAGGCCUUCGGGUUGUAAACUGCUUUUGUACGGAACGAAACGGCUCUCUCUAAUACAGAGGGCUAAUGACGGUACCGUAAGAAUAAGCACCGGCUAACUACGUGCCAGCAGCCGCCGUAAUAC
rnacentral:rRNA from 1 species